CCUUAACUUACCACAUCCUAAUGGUCACACAGACUGACCUUGAUACACUGAUGGAGAGGACUGCACAGGGUGUGAAUACUGGACUCAGUGGCCAUCGGUGCCUUCUUUGAGGCUGCCUACCACAACUCGAGAUACAGAGACUUGAAAAUCAUUAGCAUUUAAAUGAUAUUGGAAGUUUUGUUAAUGAAAGAGAUUGCUUGAGAGAUGUGUGCAGAAGGAAAAGAGGAGGAUUUAAGGACCGUGUCCUGAGAGACACUGGCCUUUAAAGAUAAGCCGAGAAAGAGAAGCCAGCAAAGAGACUGAUGAAAAACAUGACCAUAUGUCCUGGUUUGCCAGUGGUUAGUUCUGCUUUAUGCCUGUUGUGUCCACAUGACAGUUUACUCUGCCCCUUUCACUUUCUCAAGGGCCCUGGAUUAGAUGAAACUUACAUGGUCAUCCAGAGCAAUAGAGGAAAACCAGGAGGAGCCAAUAUCAUGACGGACAUUGGAUUUCAUGACAUGAGGUCCCUGGAGACUUCAGCAGCAGAUGUUUGAGUUGUGAGCAUGCAACCCGGGUUUCAGAGGGCGAGAGAGGCGCCGGAAUCAUCCAGCCGUCCUCCUCGUCAAAGUUAUGGGCAAUUUGACCUGCCAUUUAGCUGUUUCCUGGAGCCGGUUGAGUGGUUCUUAGGGCCGUUUCUGCCUUGAAGACAACACAGGGCUCCAGGAUAAGAAACAGCAGAAGCCUCAACAGGAGACUGCAAAUUCUUGGCUAUUUAAUUGCAGCAUUUUGCUGCUCUUGAAACCAGCUGGAGAGAAGGAGCAAGCGAAGAGCUUGAAGAGCUGGUCUUUGAGUCAGAGCUAAGUAUAGCAUAGCCAAGUGCUUCAUCUCCCCACUCACCAUAUCGCUGUGGAUUUUGAAGGAGGUUGGCUCCAGGGAGAAAAUAUUUAAGGCUGGAGAAAUAGUUUUCUUCAGUUUGUCUUUGUGGAUGCAAAGCACACAUGUUACGCUGGUUCUUAUUGAUUAACAUGCUAACAAGUUAAACAGUUUUUCAGCUGUCCAGCCUCACCUCUUCUCACGGCCGCUGUGCACGCGCCGGGGGGCCACUGCGGGGAGGCCAUGCCCGAGGCAACCAAGCUCCCAUCCUGGCCCCUGGUUCCCAGGAUGCACUUCUUUCUCUGGGUAUCAUUGGUAUCUUCUUCAGGCUGUCUCUGUAUCCUGUCUUUCCUCAUCCACAUCUGUCUUUGAACUCACGAUGGGUCAUUCCCUCUUGCUGUGUUUUCACUUGAGAUUCCACACUGAACACCUAGACCCAGAGCUCAAGGAGUUUGUAAUCUGGACUUUCCAGAUUGUUCAGUGUCUGCCAGUGGCUGGUGAGGCUGGUGGCUAUCAGAUCUGCAUUGGUUGCUGUCCCCCCGAGGAUUUGAGAAGGAAAGGGAAGCAGUGCUUUUGGUGACCUAUGUUCUCAAGAACAUAAAACCUUGGUAACUGCUAGGCUGGGCGUCUCAACCCGAGGUCUGUAUGAUCUCAAGGGAGAUGAAUAGAGAGCAACUUUCUAAAUAUGUGUGUCUAUGUGCAUUUAGGGGGAAGUUUCAUAGUGUUCACUGAGUUCUCAAGGUUGGCCAGGAGCCAAAUCAUGUAUGAACAACCAUCCUGUAAGUGUGGCCCCAGUAGGGAGGCUCAGGCACUAAAGGGUGGGUCAGAAUUCAGCUCAGAACUUGGACCCUAAGAGGUUCUCCUACUCCAUCAGAUGCUUUAUUUACCUUUGAAGAGCAGCAGUGAAGAAAGAAACCAAUAGUUACAUUUGACUCUUCAAAUCUAUCUUUAAUAAAAGAUCAUUUCCUUUGUACUUGGUCUUGUUUGGGGGUUGAUUUGCAAUUAUUAGACUUUAUUAUGUACUUGAAGGAGCAGAUAGAGGAAGAAUGAGGUUAUUAUUGCUUUAUCCUUUGAUAAAUCCUAAAACUGUAGAGUUGGAACAGAGCAAAGAGUUUAUGUAGUCCACCUGAAAGCCCCAACCCUGUUGCCUCGUCCAGAAUCUUCUCUAUGCCACUCCCAUCCAAUGGCUAUUUAGCCUCUUGCAGGGAGAGAGAAUGCUCUGUUCACUUUCCAUUCAUCCAUUCAACUGUGCAUUCUUAUAUGCCGUGUACUCUGCUAGGUUCUGCUACUGCUACUGCUAAGUCACUUCAGUCGUGUCCGACUCUGUGUGACCCCAUAGACGGCAGCCCACCAGGCUCCCCCAUCCCUGGGAUUCUCCAGGCAAGAACACUGGAAUGGGUUGCCAUUUCCUUCUCCAAUGCAUGAAAGUGAAAAGUGAAAGUGAAGUCGCUCAGUCGUGUCCGACUCUUCGCGACCCCAUGGACUGCAGCCCACCAGGCUCCUCCAUCCAGGUUCUGGGAAGAUGACAAAUAACAGCCUUGGUGGCCCUUAAGGAGCUUACAGCCCAGCAAUCUGGAGAGGCAGACAUUGAAUAGUGAUGAAGAAUGUUAGAGCAGGGACGACUCUGAGGCUAAUGGGGAGCACUCUGCUCUGUGGGUGGUGGUGCUUAUAGAAGGCGUUUCCAGAGAAAGUAGUAUCCAAGCUGAGCUGAGAGGGAAGGGGGAGCUGGGAAGAUGGAGGAAGAUUGGGUUGAGGGAGUGCUGUAGGCAAAAGGAGUGGCACAGUCAAGGUUCUAAGAAUGAAAGAGAAGGAGCGAGGCUUAGUGGAGAAAGUGAGAGGCCAUGAUUGGAACAGAUGAAAGAAAAUAAAUAGAAUAAAUAUAUAGAGUGGUUUCCAUGGCAACCUGCUUUUUUUUAGACAAGUCUGAGUGAGAAAGUUUUCCCUGACUUUUCUACUUACGGCCUUCUGAUGCUCCUAGGCAGGGAAACAUCUUUAUGGGAUUUAUGAAGACAAACAGACAUCUGAGCCAUGAAUUUUCUCCUCCACUUCCUUAUACUGGACAUAACUUUAAACCAAGAAACAAGUUUUGGUUCUGCUGUACCCUUGCUAUGACCACCACCUGGAAUAUUAUUUUGGACCCAUCCACUCAGCCCAAAGGGGAAACCAAUUGCCAUGUUGUGAGCUGCCCUAUGGAAAGGCCCACAUGGCAGAGAACCGAGGGAAGCUCCAAACCGACAGCAAGCAAAGAACUGAGGUCUUCAGGGUCAAAGUCCAUGAAGAGUUGCAGGCUGUCGCAGGAUAUGCAAAAGCCUGGAAGUGGAUUCUCUUCUCAGCUGGCUCCUUGACGGCAGCCUUGAGAGAGACUUUGAGGCUUCCCAGGUGGUUCAGGAGUAAAGAAUCUGCCUGCCAGUGCAGAAGAUGCA